rnacentral:rRNA from 1 species
CCUACGGGGGGCAGCAGUGGGGAAUAUUGGACAAUGGGGGCAACCCUGAUCCAGCCAUGCCGCGUGUCUGAAGAAGGCCCUCGGGUUGUAAAGCACUUUCAGUGAGGAAGAACGCCUGGUGGUUAAUACCCAUCAGGAAAGACAUCACUCACAGAAGAAGCACCGGCUAACUCCGUGCCAGCAGCCGCGGUAAUACGGAGGGUGCGAGCGUUAAUCGGAAUUACUGGGCGUAAAGCGCGCGUAGGUGGCUUGAUAAGCCGGUUGUGAAAGCCCCGGGCUCAACCUGGGAACGGCAUCCGGAACUGUCAAGCUAGAGUGCAGGAGAGGAAGGUAGAAUUCCCGGUGUAGCGGUGAAAUGCGUAGAGAUCGGGAGGAAUACCAGUGGCGAAGGCGGCCUUCUGGACUGACACUGACACUGAGGUGCGAAAGCGUGGGUAGCAAACAGGAUUAGAUACCCUUGUAGUC